rnacentral:rRNA from 1 species
CCUACGGGCGGCAGCAGUGGGGAAUAUUGGACAAUGGGGGGAACCCUGAUCCAGCGACGCCGCGUGAGUGAAGAAGUAUUUCGGUAUGUAAAGCUCUAUCAGCAGGGAAGAAAGAAAUGACGGUACCUGACUAAGAAGCCCCGGCUAACUACGUGCCAGCAGCCGCGGUAAUACGUAGGGGGCAAGCGUUAUCCGGAUUUACUGGGUGUAAAGGGAGCGUAGACGGUUACGCAAGUCUGGAGUGAAAGGCGGGGGACCAACCCCCGGACUGCUUUGGAAACUGUAUAACUGGGGUGCAGGAGAGGUAAGUGGAAUUCCUAGUGGAGCGGUGAAAUGCGUAGAGAUUAGGAGGAACACCAGUGGCGAAGGCGGCUUACUGGACUGUAACUGACGUUGAGGCUCGAAAGCGUGGGGAGCAAACAGGAUUAGAUACCCGGGUAGUC